UACGGGGGGGGGCAAGCGUUGUUCGGAAUUACUGGGCGUAAAGGGCGCGUAGGCGGCCUUCUAAGUCGGACGUGAAAUCCCUCGGCUUAACCGAGGAACUGCGUCCGAUACUGAAAGGCUUGAAUCCGGGAGAGGGAUGUGGAAUUCCAGGUGUAGCGGUGAAAUGCGUAGAUAUCUGGAGGAACACCGGUGGCGAAGGCGGCAUCCUGGACCGACACUGACGCUGAGGAGCGAAAGCGUGGGGAGCAAACAGG
rnacentral:rRNA from 1 species